GCACCAGUGGUGUAUGAUGCACUCGCCGACCUCAUAAAAAGUCGUGAAACACCUGAAGGGCGAGACGGGGUUCGAUUCCCUGCUGGUGCA